CCUACGGGAGGCAGCAGUGAGGAAUAUUGGUCAAUGGGAGAGAUCCUGAACCAGCCAAGCCGCGUGAGGGAAGACGGCCCUAUGGGUUGUAAACCUCUUUUGUCGGAGAACAAAACCCGGGACGUGUCCCGUACUGCGUGUAUCCGAAGAAAAAGCAUCGGCUAACUCCGUGCCAGCAGCCGCGGUAAUACGGAGGAUGCGAGCGUUAUCCGGAUUUAUUGGGUUUAAAGGGUGCGUAGGCGGUCCGUUAAGUCAGCGGUAAAAUUGCGGGGCUCAACCCCGUCGAGACGUUGAAACUGGCAGACUUGAGUGGGCGAGAAGUACGCGGAAUGCGCGGUGUAGCGGUGAAAUGCAUAGAUAUCGCGCAGAACUCCGAUUGCGAAGGCAGCGUACCGGCGCCAGACUGACGCUGAGGCACGAAAGCGUGGGGAUCGAACAGGAUUAGAUACCCCUGUAGUC
rnacentral:rRNA from 1 species